rnacentral:lncRNA from 1 species
CAUUAAGUCAACAGAUUGCACAUGAAUAUCAACAAUCCUGCAAAAAAAGCCAGUCCCUUAAGAAACAUCAAGAUUGACAGUUGUCAUCAGAGAAAUGAUGAGGACCAGGAUCUUCAGGGUACCAUCUGGUGCUGUGUUUGAAGAAAAUGAGAAUGAGAGAUAUUUCCUCAAUAGAUGAAACUAUUGGCCCCAGCUCCAAAUUCACACUUGUUGCAGCAGUUAAUUCUGCAAAAUCACAGAAGGAAAAAAAGUCAGGCCAAGGUAGGUGGACCACGAGGUCAAGAGAUCAAGACCAUCCUGGCCAACAUGGUAAAAUCCCAUCUCUACUAAAAAUACAAAAAUUAGCUGGGCAUGGUGGCACAAGCCUAUAGUCUCAGCUACUCGGAAGGCUGAGGCAGGAGAAUCGCUUGAACCCGGAAGGUGAAGGUUGCAGUGAGCUGAGACUGUGCCACUGCACUCCAGCCUGGUGACAGAGUGAGACUCUGUCUCAAAAAAAAAAAAAAAAAAAAAAAAAAAAAAAAAAAAAACUCAGGAAAACUCCUCUUCUUUUUUCUUUUUUUUUGUCCCAGGCUAAGCAGAAAUGUACUGACUCAUUUUGUGGUUAUAUGCAUUAUUAUUCUCGUCUCAGGUCAGGACUGCUAGACUUAGAAAGAAUUCUGAUAUGAAUUGUGAUAUCAUUGUCUAACAGAAAGUGUAUUGGAAGUUGUUCACAAUCUCCAGACACUUGGCAGGUCACAGAGAGAGGUGCAGAGAGCUGCCUUUUUUCUUUCUUUUGGGUUCAGGAUUGCAUUUCUGAAGUUUGUCCUUUACCAUUUAUUGUACACUGACUUUUGCUGUUAGAUAACUGGUUUCCAAAAUUAGUGUGUACACAAAUUACCUGAGUCAUUUAUUAAACAUUUCCUGGCCUCCCCCUAGGGCAAUUUAUUUGUAGAUUUCAGGUGAAUCCUAGUCAUCAACAAUUUAGCUAAUACCACCCUUUCCCAGAGAGAUCCUGAGAUGGGUGAUCUGAAAACACCUCAUUUGAAACAUUCUAGGUUAGUGAAUUGAGUUUAUUGUUUUACAUAUAAAUUAUUUUCACUAUGCUUUAUCAUAGAGCUUGACCUGUUCCCAGAGGAAAUCUAUAGGCAUAAAAUGAACACAUGUGUUCUCAACGGCUUUAAUUAAAAGAGUGGCAUGCAUAUUUCAUUGCUAUUAACAAAAACAAAAUUGAUUUGCUUUUCUAGAUAAUUGAAUGUAUGAAAAUCUCAGUGCCUUCCUUCUGUAACUUAACUCUAUAAAUUCUGCAUCAUUUUCAUUUUAUAAGUGCUGGCAUGUAUUGUGAAUUUCUUUACAGCAAGAAGAAUGACUUAAUGUUUUAGAGUUAGUUUUGUUUUUUUGUUUUGUCCCAUUUUUUACCAAACAUAAAAUGGCCUAAAAUGAGUGCACAAUAAAAGUGUGACACCUUAAA